rnacentral:rRNA from 1 species
UGGGGAAUAUUGCACAAUGGGCGAAAGCCUGAUGCAGCAACGCCGCGUGAGGGAUGACGGCCUUCGGGUUGUAAACCUCUUUUAGUAGGGAAGAAGCGAAAGUGACGGUACCUGCAGAAAAAGCACCGGCUAACUACGUGCCAGCAGCCGCGGUAAUACGUAGGGUGCAAGCGUUGUCCGGAAUUAUUGGGCGUAAAGAGCUCGUAGGCGGUUUGUCGCGUCUGGUGUGAAAACUCGAGGCUCAACCUCGAGCUUGCAUCGGGUACGGGCAGACUAGAGUGCGGUAGGGGAGACUGGAAUUCCUGGUGUAGCGGUGGAAUGCGCAGAUAUCAGGAGGAACACCGAUGGCGAAGGCAGGUCUCUGGGCCGCAACUGACGCUGAGGAGCGAAAGCAUGGGGAGCGAACA